rnacentral:rRNA from 1 species
AACGAACGCUGGCGGCAGGCUUAACACAUGCAAGUCGAACGCCCCGCAAGGGGAGUGGCAGACGGGUGAGUAACGCAUGGGAAUCUACCUAGUUCUACGGAACAACACAGGGAAACUUGUGCUAAUACCGUAUACGCCCUACGGGGGAAAGAUUUAUCGGAAUUAGAUGAGCCCGCGUAAGAUUAGCUAGUUGGUGAGGUAAUGGCUCACCAAGGCGACGAUCUUUAGCUGGUCUGAGAGGAGGAUCAGCCACACUGGGACUGAGACACGGCCCAGACUCCUACGGGAGGCAGCAGUGGGGAAUAUUGGACAAUGGGCGAAAGCCUGAUCCAGCCAUGCCGCGUGAGUGAUGAAGGCCUUAGGGUUGUAAAGCUCUUUCAGUAGGGAAGAUAAUGACGGUACCUACAGAAGAAGCCCCGGCUAACUUCGUGCCAGCAGCCGCGGUAACAC